rnacentral:rRNA from 1 species
GACGAACGCUGGCGGCGUGCUUAACACAUGCAAGUCGAACGGAAAGGCCCGGCUUUUGUUGUGUGCUCGAGUGGCGAACGGGUGAGAAACAUGAGUGUAACCUGAGCUUGAUGUUGGGAAAUCUUCUGGAAACUGGGGAGAAUAGCGCAUAUGAGCUCCUGCACCGCGGGGGGGGUUCGAUAGUUUCGGCGGUUGGGCAUGGAGUCGCGGCUUAUCGGCUUGCUUGUCGGGUUGUGGGUUACCAAGGCUUCGACGGGUAGGCGGCCUGAGAGGUUGACCGGCGACAUUGCGCCUGCGAUACGGCCCAGAAUCCUACGGGAGGCAGCAGUGGGGAGUCUUGCACAGUGGGCGGAAGCCUGAUGCGGCAAUGCCGGGUGCGGGAUGAUGGCCUUCUGGUUAUAAACCGCUUUCGACUGUGAUGAAGCGUGGGUGACGGUAGUGGGUGAAGAAGCACCGGCUAACUACGUG